CUACUUGUUGAUCUUGCACUUUCUUUUCCUUUCACAGAAAGAAGACUUGGAUUCAUGAGGGUGUAUCCACCUAAUGACAAUACGGUGAAGUUAACCCAAGAGAACAAUGCAUACCAUUAAUCUGCUCAUGCUUAAUUGGAGGAAGAACUGCAGGCACAGCAGGGCAGUCCUGGGACCCAAGGGUUUCCCAGGAAUGGAAGAAGGGAGCAAGGCUGGAAAGCGUGAAGACUGAUGAGAGGAGACGGGCUACUAUUGCAAAGGACAGAAGUAGAAUCACAAGGAGGCUCUGGUCCCUAAAGACGAGUGCAUGGACCAAAGUUGCUCUCCAGAGCAGCAGAGGAGACGUGGCUCCAACGAGAGGUACCGCUUGUGUGUGACACACCGACUGGAUCUGUACUCUACACCACCACGCGCACAGAUGCUUCCCUUAAACUACUGCAGUUUGUCACCAUUCUGCUCCAACACAUCCACUGUACAUUGGUUUUACAGCUCUACUCGGGAUUGCUAUUGCAAUAUUCUGGAGUAUUUAUCUGUUUUUUUGUAAGGGAAAUGCUCAUCAUGUACUGCUAUCUGGAGACCAGCAAUUCCAGUUCAUAAGCUUUCAAACUUGUUUUCAUUCUGUAAUGGAGUGAAAAGCCCAUCUUUUGAGAGGCUUCACAGGCCAUAUUUUGCAAAAUUCUUGACUUGCAGAAUAAAGAAACACCCAGACUUUGGCUUAGAAAACUUGAGAUUUUUAUACCCUUGAGAGGCAAAGGGUCUUGGCCCUCAAAAGUGCUCUUCUUCACACCUUCCUUCAAAUGGGCAGCCCUCAGCAAAGCUUUUAUGGGAAAAGGAAAAAGUACAUUUGAUGAAAAUCCAAACAAGAUCCAGCCAGCUUUCCUCAUGCUCUUUACGCUUAAUCUUCAGACCCCAGCCCUUCACAAUGCCCUUCAAAAUAUGUUUAUGGGACGAUGUGUUUUCAGCCUCCUGGUUUGCUCUCCACCACAAGCAACUGGUCAAGUGGGCAAUAGUAGAAGGCACAGAAGUGUCAUAAAUCUUUACGAGACCUGAUAAAACUUUUAAGGCAGCUCCUACCUCCCCAGCCCAGCAGAAGGUGUGAUGCAGGAUGCAUAGUUGCUCUGGUAAUGUCACACCAUCCCUCCUGCGUCUGUAGCAGCAAGGUGUCAGCUCAGCACACCUCAGUGACUUCACCAUCCUCAGAUGCAGAGAGGGAGACGGCAAUAUUAUCUCCAGUAAUUCUCACCUCUCCCGGAGCAAGGGCCCUCUGUGUGCACAUGCAACUUGAAGGCUGGCCUUUCACUUCUUCCUAUAAGAGCAAAGGAAAUAUUUUUUUUUCAGACCUCUAAAGAAAGUUUACACCUUUAUUUCUGAAACACCAAGGAAGGAAGGCUUUAAAUAAUACAUUUCCAAAGUGCUUUUGUGCAGGUGUCAGGGAUGGAUGAACUCAUUUGAACUACAGAGCAGUUGGAAAAGUGGUAUUCAAACAGCACACCUGAAGUCAGCUGUGAAACUGCUCUGCUGCUACAAAAAAGCCACUGAAGAGCAUGAGAGGUGCCUCAGGGAGGGAAUCGCCACCACUGACAGCUCCCAAUCAUGGAAGCUCCAGUAUCCAGUGAGGGACACAACUCCUGGCAGAGGGAGAAGGGCAACAGCUACCUUAUCCUCUCCCCUUCUUGAAAACAAAGAAGAAAACAGUGGUUUGUUUAAAAGAAACAAGACUACAGUAUCCCUUUGACCAGUCACUGGCAAGCAAUUCAUGAGUUAUAGGUAAUGUAUUUUGAUGAAUUCAGGGAGGAAGUGAUUAGGGCAAUAUGCUGAGAAAAGUAGUCAGUUUUGCAACACAAUUGUUAUAUUUAUAUUUUCAGUAAUGACCUGAAGAAGACUACCCACAACAUUUUUGGUUUUUACCUAUGGCAAACAAAAACUACAGUGUUUCUGAGUCUAAGCACAGACUGAGAAGAAAGAUGAGAGAUUAGUGGAGAUAGUGUUACACCUUGCUUAUAGAUGGGAAACUAGAAGACCUUCUUACAUGACCAUAUGGAAGGAAACCAGAUCCCUCACAAUACAUGCUCCCAGGCUAGAACCUAAAGCUUAUGUUUUCAUAAGUCCUUGGGACUUCAUAGCCUGUUCAGGCAUCAGAGAAGACAAUUAAAUGAGCAAACAUCCUUUCUCAUUGUUCUCAGUAGGAACUCUUGGAUUUAACCAUUCUGAAACGAUACCCUUAAUAUGCUGAUUUCAGAGCAUUUACACCCUGCGGGAGUUUUGUCCUCUGACUGUGUCAACUCUAACUAUAGUGGAUGGGAAACUGAAUGAGUUGUAAUUGGUUUUAUCAACUACACAGCAGAAACAGACGGAUGAAAAAAAUCACAGAUGAUCUUCAUCAGAAAAUGUCAUGCUCUACAGCAUUCUGGGACUAUGUGGACUUCUCUGGGACCAUAUAUGUCUUUUCCAGACCCACAGGGCAAUACAAGUAUAAUGUGCUCAAACAUUUGAGGCUGAUCUUGUGUAUUAAAAAAAAUGAACAGGAAAAAACUCAAAUUUCCUUUCAGAAUCUCACUGAAUAUACCAGAGAGUCUGCAGCCUGAGCAUAACAAUGCAACAAAAUCAACCAGAUCUGUCUCCUCCUCCCUGAAAGCUAAUGUUGCUAUGCUGAACGUUAUCACCACAGAGGAAAAAACCAUCUGACAUUACUCUGGAGUGAGGUUUCUCUAUGAUUUUCAGAAAAAAAUCCCACUCUACAUAAUCAAAUGCCUUUCUGUUGAGGCUGAGGUUAUUAAUACUCUGUUGAGGUUUGCAUUUUGCUUUGAUUAAAACAAUUAAAUUAACUUCCUUGUAACAGAAGAUGUAAAAUACCUCCCCAGCUUCAAAAUCCACCUCACCUUUGCAGUAUUGCAGAUGGUAUUUUAUCAGGUAUUCUGCCAAAAAAAACCUGAGGUCUUGGUCUUGGGAUUCUUUAAAUAUGUAAGUAACCUGAGAGAUAUGAAACACUAACAAAGUCCAGCUUCAUACUGCUAGUAGUUGCCUUUGCUGCUGGCCAGCGUACACUUUUCUUAGAUGAAUACCACCAUUUGUUUAUGGAUGAAAUAUCUUUAAAACAGCAAUGUUUAAGUGAGUUACUAGAAAUAACAGAGCUAAUUUUUAGUGAUGUGAUGUUAAGGCAGAAAAAUUGUCCUUUAGUAUCUGAACAGCGCUCAGAAGAUGUUUACUGGCAAAUCUGGAGAUAAAAUAAUGGGACUUUCUGGGGUUUGUUUCUUGUUUGCUACACUCUCUAUCUUAAAUGUUAUUUAGAAUUAAAAAUUCUGUAUCUUUCAUGUUUUCUUAAAAUCCAAACAAGAUAUAGUCCUUAGAUGAGGCCUUUAUGACUAUUGCUGCCAUUUGGGAAGCAGUAGUUCCCCACUUUUAUGUUUUGAUGAUUUUGGGGGGGAACAAUUUUCUCUUAAUCCUGCUACAAUUUCUAUCCACUGACUUUGUCUCAGCUAAUAAUAACCAACAACUUGGCAUAGCUUUGCAGUUAAAAUUUUUGAGUGUCUUCUUCUCAUAAUAUGCUUUUUAAAUCAGUCCCUUCCCACUUUCAGUCUGACUAUCUGAAAAUGAUCUUCUGAAGAUCAAAAGGACGAUUAAAAACCUGGGAAUUUCACCAUACUUACCACAGAUUUAUCAACACAAUUUUAACAUGGAAAAGUUCAUUUUUCACUAUUGUUUUGUGGCAGCUUUUUAUAAGGAGUGUGAGGAAUAAUCAGAACUGUGAACCUGUGUGUUUUAACAAAUCAGUGGAUUUAAAUUCUAACAGGCAUUGACCAGACUCCAUCCCAAGAAGAUUUUUCCUUAUUUAAAAUUAUAUUUAGAAAGAGUUAAAAAUAUUCCAACAAUCAAAAGCAGGCAAGAAAAAGAGCCUAAACAUCUUAUACAGUAGCUACAAGCACAAAUAAAAUAAUGGUUUAGCAGAGAUUUGGGUAAUGCCAAACUCCAGUUAUGUGACCACAAAGCAAGAGCAGGUCUCAGGUCUCUUCUGUAUCCAAAGCAAAGGUUUAUCUGUAACUGAAAUAUAUUCUAAAGUGGAAGGA